GACGAACGCUGGCGGCGUGCUUAACACAUGCAAGUCGAACGGAAAGGCCCUGCUUUUGUGGGGUGCUCGAGUGGCGAACGGGUGAGUAACACGUGAGUAACCUGCCCUUGACUUUGGGAUAACUUCAGGAAACUGGGGCUAAUACCGGAUAGGAGCUCCUGCUGCAUGGUGGGGGUUGGAAAGUUUCGGCGGUUGGGGAUGGACUCGCGGCUUAUCAGCUUGUUGGGGGGGUAGUGGCUUACCAAGGCUUUGACGGGUAGCCGGCCUGAGAGGGUGACCGGCCACAUUGGGACUGCGGUACGGCCCAGACUCCAACGGGAGGCAGCAGUGGGGAAUAUUGCACAAUGGGCGGAAGCCUGAUGCAGCAACGCCGCGUGCGGGAUGACGGCCUUCGGGUUGUAAACCGCUUUCGCCUGUAACGAAGCGUGAGUGACGGUAAUGAGUAAAGAAGCACCGGCUAACUACGUG
rnacentral:rRNA from 1 species